UUUGUAGUAGUUAAAAUAUAACAAAGGACUUAAAAUCCUUAAUUGAAGAAGAAAUAUCUUCCUAUAAGU
rnacentral:tRNA from 1 species